GAUGCCUUUGCCACUGGAUUUGGUCCUCCUUUGAACAAUUUGUCAGUUGUUUCCUACUAGCAAGAUGAAUGAAAACAUAGGCAUUCUACUUCUACUCUCUUCGUCUCUCUUUCUGUGUGUUCCUGCCAUCUGUUUUUUCUCUUGACUGAUAAUCCGUAUUUCCCCAGAGCUUGUGGAACAGGUGUUCAACUUGCUUCAAACUAUCUUUACUUAGAAUUUUUUAGAAAAACAUGGAAAUUGAACCUGGGUACAUAGAAUGACAUUUGGUCUCCAGCUGCCUGAAGAACUUUUCUGUUGGCUGCAGCACUCAUCUGGAUAAACUGCUAUGCUGAGGAGACCUGUGGUUGAGACAUUGAUCUUCAUCCAACAUUAUCAGUUGGAUAUUUGCUUCCAAAGGGAAGUAAUUUUUAGCAGGGA